rnacentral:rRNA from 1 species
CGUAGGCACCAAGCGUUGUCCGGAUUUAUUGGGCGUAAAGAGCUCGUAGGCGGUUUAGUAAGUCGGGUGUGAAAACUCUGGGCUUAACCCAGAGCCGCCACUCGAUACUGCUGUGACUUGAGUUCGGUAGGGGAGCAGGGAAUUCCUAGUGUAGCGGUGAAAUGCGCAGAUAUUAGGAGGAACACCGGUGGCGAAGGCGCUGCUCUGGGCCGAUACUGACGCUGAGGAGCGAAAGCGUGGGUAGCAAACAGGAUUAGAUCCCCUGGUAGUCCACGCCGUAAACGUUGGGCACUAGGUGUGGGUUCCAACCAACGGAAUCCGCGCCGUCGCUAACGCAUUAAGUGCCCCGCCUGGGGAGUACGGCGGCAACGCUA